GAAGUUUCAUGACCUUAUCACUUAGAGGAGGAGAAGUCGUAACAAGGUUUCCGUAGGUGAACCUGCGGAAGGAUCAUUCGCACUAUCCAAAACUUGUCGUGAACCUGGCUGAAUGCGACUGCUUGCGAAUUUGUUUUCGCAAGCGGAAGCUAUGGGCGAAUGGAGGUAUUCGGAGCUGCACUGUGUGCAUGUUCUGGGUGCUGCCCAUCGUCAUUGGUCCCUCUUGGACCUUCCACAACUUGAACUACUCUUGUUUCAGCUU
rnacentral:misc_RNA from 1 species